UAGGGAAUCUUCCGCAAUGGGCGAAAGCCUGACGGAGCAACGCCGCGUGAGUGAUGAAGGUCUUCGGAUCGUAAAACUCUGUUAUUAGGGAAGAACAAAUGUGUAAGUAACUAUGCACGUCUUGACGGUACCUAAUCAGAAAGCCACGGCUAACUACGUGCCAGCAGCCGCGGUAAUACGUAGGUGGCAAGCGUUAUCCGGAAUUAUUGGGCGUAAAGCGCGCGUAGGCGGUUUUUUAAGUCUGAUGGGAAAGCCCACGGCUCAACCGUGGAGGGUCAUUGGAAACUGGAAAACUGGAGUGCAGAAGAGGAAAGUGGAAUUCCAUGUGUAGCGGUGAAAUGCGCAGAGAUAUGGAGGAACACCAGUGGCGAAGGCGACUUUCUGGUCUGUAACUGACGCUGAUGUGCGAAAGCGUGGGGAUCAAACAGG
rnacentral:rRNA from 1 species